rnacentral:lncRNA from 1 species
AUAACAAAUAUAAUCAAAUAAAAAGAAAAGGGUAAACAUUAAAUACCACUCCAUUAGCUUCGCACUUUCUCACUUUAGUACCCUAUGAUUUAAAGUGUAUUAUUUAGUAUCCUAUGAUUUUAUUUUUCUCUUUCGUCACUGGCUCAAUAAACUUUAAAUACCCUAUCAAUAGUUUAUCGAAUAUUCACCUUGGUAUCCUGUGGCUNAAAUAAUUUAAUGCAGGAAACGAAAAGAUAAGCGGAAAGAACAUAUCGAUAUUUACGUGGUUCGGCCAGGGCCUACGUCCACGGGCGAAGACGGAGGAAAUAAUUUAUUAAUGUCGAAAAGGCGGAGUACAAAGAAGAUUUCU